CUCCAUGAUGCUGUGCUCUUGUAUACGAUGGGAAUAAAAGAAGUCCUCAAAGAUGGCAAAGAUCCUCAUGACGGACAGGAGCUUCUUUUGAGACUGAAAAACAAACACAACAUUAGAUUUUACGGUGCUUCUGGUUUGGUCCAUUUUGACGAAGAUGGCGAGAGAAACUUGGACUAUUCCAUUUAUGACCUGCAACACAUCGGAGACGCCACCAAGUUUGUUCCCGUUCUCAAUUUCGAAAGCCAAACCAAAAGAGUAAGAUAUUGCUCUGCUGGCCUUGUUAGUGUCUUUCCCCUGUAUUGGAGUGCUG
rnacentral:lncRNA from 1 species